UGGGCCUGGGAGGGGUGGCUGCCGUUUCUUCUAACCCUAACCACGAGGGGCGUAGGCGCCGUGCUUUUGUUCCCCGCGCGCUGUUUUUCUGGCUGACUUUCAGCGGGCGGAAAAGCCUUGGCCUGCCGCCUUCCACAAUCCAGUCUGGAACAAACAAAAAAUGUCAGCCACCGGCCAGUUCGCCCCUCCCGGGGACCUGCGAUGGCUGGCCCGCCCGGCCCCCGAGCCCUGCCUAAAGGCCGCGGUCGGCCUGGGGCUUCUCCGGAGGUGCCCGCUGCCGCCGCGAAGAGUUAGGCUCUGUCAGCCGCGGGUCCCUCGGGGGCCAAGGGCGAGGUUUAGCCUGUUAACGCAGGAAGAGUAACGGAGCCGGGUCCCCGCACGCGGUGCGCUUCCCUGAGCUGUGGGACUUGCACCCGGGACUCGGCUCCUACAUGC
rnacentral:telomerase_RNA from 1 species